rnacentral:rRNA from 1 species
AGCGAACGCUGGCGGCAGGCCUAACACAUGCAAGUCGAACGGAUCCUUCGGGAUUAGUGGCGGACUGGUGAGUAACACGUGGGAACGUGCCCUUUGGUUCGGAACAACUCAGGGAAACUUGAGCUAAUACCGGAUGUGCCCUUCGGGGGAAAGAUUUAUUGCCAUUGGAGCGGCCCGCGUCUGAUUAGCUAGUUGGUGAGGUAAAGGCUCACCAAGGCGACGAUCAGUAGCUGGUCUGAGAGGAUGAUCAGCCACAUUGGGACUGAGACACGGCCCAAACUCCUACGGGAGGCAGCAGUGGGGAAUCUUGCGCAAUGGGCGAAAGCCUGACGCAGCCAUGCCGCGUGAAUGAUGAAGGUCUUAGGAUUGUAAAAUUCUUUCACCGGGGACGAUAAUGACGGUACCCGGAGAAGAAGCCCCGGCUAACUUCGUGCCAGCCGCCGCAGUAACAC